AAUCAACGCUGGCGGCGUGCCUAACACAUGCAAGUCGAACGAGAAAGUGGUAGCAAUACCAUGAGUAAAGUGGCGCACGGGUGAGUAACACGUGACUAACCUACCCUGGAGUGGGGGAUAACUGAGGGAAACCUUAGCUAAUACCGCAUAAUACCUACGGGUCAAAGGAGCAAUUCGCUUUGGGAGGGGGUCGCGGCCGAUUAGUUAGUUGGCGGGGUAAUGGCCCACCAAGACAGUGAUCGGUAUCCGGCCUGAGAGGGCGCACGGACACACUGGAACUGAAACACGGUCCAGACUCCUACGGGAGGCAGCAGUGGGGAAUUUUGCGCAAUGGGGGAAACCCUGACGCAGCAACGCCGCGUGGAGGAUGAAGUCCUUCGGGACGUAAACUCCUUUCGAUCGGGACGAUAAUGACGGUACCGGAAGAAGAAGCCCCGGCUAACUUCGUGCCAGCAGCCGCGGUAAUACGAGGGGGGCGAGCGUUGUUCGGAAUUAUUGGGCGUAAAGGGUGCGUAGGCGGUUUGGUAAGUCUUAUGUGAAAUCUAUGGGCUCAACUCAUAGACUGCAUGAGAAACUGCCGGGCUUGAGUGUGGGAGAGGUG
rnacentral:rRNA from 1 species